rnacentral:rRNA from 1 species
CCUACGGGAGGCAGCAGUGAGGAAUAUUGGUCAAUGGACGAGAGUCUGAACCAGCCAAGUAGCGUGAAGGAUGACUGCCCUAUGGGUUGUAAACUUCUUUUAUAUGGGAAUAAAAUGUUCCACGUGUGGGAUUUUGUAUGUACCAUAUGAAUAAGGAUCGGCUAACUCCGUGCCAGCAGCCGCGGUAAUACGGAGGAUCCGAGCGUUAUCCGGAUUUAUUGGGUUUAAAGGGAGCGUAGGUGGAUUGUUAAGUCAGUUGUGAAAGUUUGCGGCUCAACCGUAAAAUUGCAGUUGAAACUGGCAGUCUUGAGUACAGUAGAGGUGGGCGGAAUUCGUGGUGUAGCGGUGAAAUGCUUAGAUAUCAUGAAGAACUCCGAUUGCGAAGGCAGUUCACUGGACUGCAACUGACACUGAGGCUCGAAAGUGUGGGUAUCAAACAGGAAUAGAUACCCGGGUAGUC